GUGGGGAAUUUUGGACAAUGGGCGCAAGCCUGAUCCAGCAAUGCCGCGUGCAGGAAGAAGGCCUUCGGGUUGUAAACUGCUUUUGUACGGAACGAAAAGGCUCUGGUUAAUACCUGGGGCUCAUGACGGUACCGUAAGAAUAAGCACCGGCUAACUACGUGCCAGCAGCCGCGGUAAUACGUAGGGUGCAAGCGUUAAUCGGAAUUACUGGGCGUAAAGCGUGCGCAGGCGGUUUUGUAAGACAGACGUGAAAUCCCCGGGCUCAACCUGGGAAUGGCGUUUGUGACUGCAAAGCUGGAGUGCGGCAGAGGGGGAUGGAAGUCCGCGUGUAGCAGUGAAAUGCGUAGAUAUGCGGAGGAACACCGAUGGCGAAGGCAAUCCCCUGGGCCUGCACUGACGCUCAUGCACGAAAGCGUGGGGAGCAAACAGGAUUAGAAACCCCUGUAGUCC
rnacentral:rRNA from 1 species